rnacentral:rRNA from 1 species
CAAGGAAUUUUGUGCAAUGGGCGAAAGCCUGACACAGCGACGCCGCGUGAGGGAUGAAGGCCCUCGGGUUGUAAACCUCUUUUCCCAGGGAAGAAUUAUGACGGUACCUGGGGAAUAAGUCACGGCUAACUACGUGCCACCAGCCGCGGUAAUACGUAGGUGCUAGCGUUAUCCGGAUUUACUGGGCGUAAAGCGGGCGCAGGCGGCUCUUCAAGUUGGAUGUAAAAUCUCCCGGCUUAACGGGGAGGCGACGUCUGAUACUGUUGAGCUUGAGGGUAGCAAGGGGAGACGGAAUUCCCGGUGUAGCGGUGAAAUGCGUAGAUAUCAGGAGGAACACCAGUGGCGAAAGCGGUCUCCUGGGCUAUUUCUGACGCUGAGGUCCAAAAGCGUGGGGAGCAAACAG